UCGAUUGGCCACCUCUCCACCAUACCUUUCAUGCUUCUAUCUAGGCCUCGCCAUGGCUACAGUUUCCCAAUCAGGUCCCAGUGUGCAUGACGCCCGGCAUUGACACCGGGUCCUGGCGUCAUUAACGCUGGGCCCUGGUUCUGAAAACUGGAGUACAUGCAUAUGAACGCAAUCGAGUCGUAUCUUAAGUUCAGUGGGCAAUCGAGAUGUUGGGACGCCGGCCAAGGAUACCCGGCGCACCAUAACUAAUUAAGAUCAUGCAAGUCAGGACAUGAUGGACAAAGUCCCCUCCAUGCAAGCCGGCGCGGUGACAUGAGCUAGUGAAGCAAACCGCAGGGAUCCCUGCAGUGAUCAAAACGCCCACGAUGGAGGAAAAUUCUCUCUUGACCAGAAGCCGCAGUGGCAAGCGCAAAACAUUGAAGACAUCGUCAAAAAAGAAAAGACACCAUGUCCCGUGUUGCUUAUCUAAUGUCGCCUCAGAAUAGUCCCUUUCGGAUUCUUCGGCAAAUGAACGAAUACAUGUGUCCUAGACGGCUUUGUUAUUGCAGGGAGCCUUGCAAUUUCCGUUGCUAUUUUGAUGACGUCACGGCCUCACCCGUGCAAUCGAUGAAUCGCUUGGAGUAGUGUUGGUCCUUUGUGGCUUGCGAGACCAUUGCCUUGGACGUGGAGAAGCAGUUCUUUGUUGGAGGACGAGGGAAGGCAGGGCCGAUGGAAGGGGAAUGCGUUCUCCACUCAUCUAGGGCCAACAUUCCUUCAUGAAAGAAGUCCCUUACUGAAUACUAGAUGUUAAAAGAAUUGGGAAAAAUAAUUGGCACCAAAGGGGAUGUAGCUCGGGAGGUAUCCUCAGGCGCAAACAAUGGCAUGCGUCAUGCGAGGCAGAGACGCUCGCUCUGGAAGACAAUGAAUCAGCAACGUCGGCCAGAGUUCAGAGCCGUCUUUCUUCCAUCGGCAACAUGUCGCUUCGCACAGGGGAGAGGAUUGGCCAGUCACGAAACGGCAUCCUCAGAAGCGAAUUACCUGGACGCCGAGGCGAGGUCGCAGUCCAGAUAGAGUGCUUCUUGAACAGGCUCGCGCGUGAGCGGAUGCGAUCUUUGGACGAGCAUAUGCCCUCUUGCGCAGCUGAUCAAGCAGUUUAAGCUAGCUUCAAGCCUGAACAGAGACGACACAUGGUAUAUUCAGUAGUUCUACGUAGUAGAAAAUCAACGCGGCCCACUAGGCUCGGUGCGCUGCGCCGAAGGGGCGCCAGUAAGACAUGUAAUUCCAGAGGUUGGUUCCAAGUCGGUGCGUUGGCGGACCGAUUUUCUACAGAUAAUUGUUCAGGUGCUCUAGGCCAGACAGGUGCGCCCCCAUUCUGAUCCGAUCCACAUGCUAUGGAGUCUAGCUUGAACCUCUGGAGCUUGGGCACCGCGCCUGCCUGGAA